UUCCAGAUAUUUCAAUUUCCCUCCAACUUAUAAUUAACCAAACAGAGUGGAGCAUAUUAAAAAUAAAAAAUCCUACACUACGAUUUCACCCAGGUAUUAAACAGCCUGUACGGUCGAAUAGUUAACCAGGUCUAAGCACCUUCGGCUCAGAAGGGCAACCGCCGGCGAGGGGCGACCGCUGGUGAGGGGGCGAGGAAGGGCAACAACCGGCGAGAACCUAAAGAUCUCCGUAGCUGCGAUUUCAUGUGGAAAUUCAUUCAUUAUAAAGACAUCUUCUAAAUCCCCAAAUAUAAGUUUGUAUCUAAGCUGAAUUUGGGAGUUUAAGAAUCAAGCUACAACAUUAGGAAGUCAACAUCAGCAACAAAAUUUGCAUAAUGAGUUCUACUGUUUCAAAUUUUAGCUCCUCAUGUGCUUCUGGUGAAUAAUUAAUUUGAACGGGAGGAGCAAGUUAUUCUUACAUGCUGUGAAUCUGGAUUGUGAGAGUGUAGAACAAAUGAAUUUGAAGAAGGAAAUUCUUGAAUUAAACAAGAAUCUAUAUCCCUCUAUAGAGACAUAUUGCACUGGAUUUUUGAAAGUUUCAUACCUUCAUGCCCUAUACUGGGAGCAAUCAGGAAAUCCUGAUGGCUAUUGAGACCAAAGCCCAAUUAGUUGCAACGGAAAAGGAAUUUUUGCUGAUCCGAUCAAAUAUUAUUGUAGGUACAUCUUACAAGUGUUCACGCAAGAGUUAAUACCUGCAGUCUGAACAAAAAUUUAUCACGAUCCUACUGGUGCAGCAAUGAGUAUUGGCUAUACAAUCAGUCACUAAGACGGUGCCGCAGCUCUUGGUAGUGUUCUAUAAAGUGAGAAGAUGGGUUUCAUUGUGCUCUCUUCAAGAUUAAAAUAGGAUCAUUGCUUGUUCCUUUGGUCCUUAUUCUACUGCAGUGGCCCUAUGCAGUUUCAAUACAGCAAACUCUUAUCACUGCAGGCAGCUUCUGCCUUCCAGGUUGAAAGUAAUAGUUAAUGACUAUGAAUCUUCUGCAAAUGGAAACAACACUGCUGAACCAAGAAUAUUCCUGUAUCGGAGAUCACUAAAAUGGCAUCCAACUUACUGCAACUGCGAGAGGACGAGGGGGAAGAUUCAGGUUGCUUUAGACAUACUGAAAGAGGAAGGCGUUGCAUCUCUUUAUAAUGCUCUCGGGCCCUCUCUCAUCGGAAUAUCCAUAUAGCUAGUAAAGAGGAGGCUAGCAUGAAAACUGCGUGAAUUGAAGGCUGAUGAAGUAAAAGACCAACUGUGUUAAUUGAAGGCUGAGAGACAUAAAAUGAGAAAUGCCAGAUUGUCUAAAGCAGUUCAACUCUGAAGCCUCUAUUUCCUAGUGUUUAUGGUCCAAUGACAGAUCUUUGCAGGCCAACACAGAAGAAGUAUAACCUUGCUGUAACAGUUGCAAUGGGCAGAUACAUGGAUGCAGUAGUAGUUGAGGAUGAACAAAUGGAAAAAGAAUGCAUCAAGGUGCGAAAGAGACUAUGCCAUAGCAGUGAUACUUCUAAUAUCUAGUUAGUACGUAGUGAUACAUUUGGUUUUGUGUGAAACUUGGUACUAAUUUUUGUUAUGUUGUUUUCUAAUUAGUAUGUAAAAGACAUGUUUUAUUUAAAUCAAAUCUAUGCACUUCAAUUAUUUAUUAGCUAA